GCGUGUGUGGGUGGGUGAUAUUUUUUCAUUGGAGAGUUUGAUCCUGGCUCAGGACGAACGCUGGCGGCGUGCUUAACACAUGCAAGUCGAACGGAAAGGCCCUGCUUUUGUGGGGUGCUCGAGUGGCGAACGGGUGAGUAACACGUGAGUAACCUGCCCUUGACUUUGGGAUAACUUCAGGAAACUGGGGCUAAUACCGGAUAGGAGCUCCUGCUGCAUGGUGGGGGUUGGAAAGUUUCGGCGGUUGGGGAUGGACUCGCGGCUUAUCAGCUUGUUGGUGGGGUAGUGGCUUACCAAGGCUUUGACGGGUAGCCGGCCUGAGAGGGUGACCGGCCACAUUGGGACUGAGAUACGGCCCAGACUCCUACGGGAGGCAGCAGUGGGGAAUAUUGCACAAUGGGCGGAAGCCUGAUGCAGCAACGCCGCGUGCGGGAUGACGGCCUUCGGGUUGUAAACCGCUUUCGCCUGUGACGAAGCGUGAGUGACGGUAAUGGGUAAAGAAGCACCGGCUAACUACGUGCCAGCAGCCGCGGUGAUACGUAGGGUGCGAGCGUUGUCCG
rnacentral:rRNA from 1 species